rnacentral:pre_miRNA from 1 species
AUCGUACUCCCUCCGUUUGGAAUUACUUGUCGCAGAAAUGGAUGUAUCUAGACGUAUUUUAGUUCUAGAUACAUCCAUUUCUGAGACAAGUAAUUCCGAACGGAGGGAGUAUGUC